UAGGUGAACCUGCGGAAGGAUCAUUACCUAGAGUUGCGGGCUUUGCCUGCCAUCUCUUACCCAUGUCUUUUGAGUACCUUCGUUUCCUCGGCGGGUUCGCCCGCCGGUUGGACAACACUUAAACCCUUUGUAAUUGAAAUCAGCGUCUGAAAAACUUUAAUAGUUACAACUUUCAACAACGGAUCUCUUGGUUCUGGCAUCGAUGAAGAACGCAGCGAAAUGCGAUAAGUAGUGUGAAUUGCAGAAUUCAGUGAAUCAUCGAAUCUUUGAACGCACAUUGCGCCCCUUGGUAUUCCAUGGGGCAUGCCUGUUCGAGCGUCAUUUGUACCUUCAAGCUCUGCUUGGUGUUGGGUGUUUGUCUCGCCUUUUGCGCGCAGACUCGCCUCAAACGAUUGGCAGCCGGCGUAUUGAUUUCGGAGCGCAGUACAUCUCGCGCUUUGCACUCACAACGACGACGUCCAAAAAGUACAUUUUUACACUCUUGACCUCGGAUCAGGUAGGGAUACCCGCUGAACUUAAGCAUAUCAAUAAG
rnacentral:rRNA from 1 species